UGAGUCGCGUGGCAGUGCUUUACCUCGAUCUCUUCACAGCACAUCCUCCUCUCCUCCUCCUCCUUUUUUUCUUGACACACCUCUUAAUAGAGGAGCGACCGGGAGUCGUUGUUAUCCAUCGCUGGAGUGAGAUAACACACACAUCACACCUCAGCCUCAGUCAUGGUGUUCAUCAGCUUGGCUCUCAAGUCUGUCCUGAAGUACUUCAACAGGAACAACAGCGCUGUCAGACUGGAUGAGGACAAAAAGUGGUCGGUACACUACACUUCCCAGAAGCCUCAGCAGGAGACACGACCCUCUUGUGUGGAUGACCGCCGCACCGUACUCAGAGAGUGCAGCAAGAAGCUCAGGAGAGUUGGGUAUGGCAGUUCACAGUACUUCUCCCAAAACCCUGCCUACCUCAGCCCCAGCCUAUCAGAGAACAGGCUGCAUGAUGACAUGGGCAGGAACGACAGACACCGGAAAAGGUAAAC
ensembl:lncRNA